AUCAAGAACUAACAGUGUGGCAGAAAAAUAAACUGCUGAUGAGGACAAAAGUUGUGAGUCUCUGAUAAAUCACAGUAUUGCUAGACACAUGAUUUGUAACUUAAAAUGUAAUAUGUAUUGCAUGUAAACACCUCCAGAAGCAUGAUAGAAAAUAAUCACAGAAAGAAUAUAGUUGCAAUCUUGCAAAUAGUGAUCCCCAGUCUUUGCAAAAUCAUAGCCUGUAAGUAAAAAGUCUGUAUCUUGUUUUUAUAUGUGAGACUCUGAAAAUUUUCAGAGUCGUGUAGUGUAUGGACAGCAUUAGUCCGGGGUAGGAGAGGACCAGUAGGAAAGAAAAAGGGGGAGGAGGAGAGGAGGAAAAGCUAAAGUUUCUGGACGCAGCCCAUGUCUCUGAAAACUGUCUGAGAAAGCAGCCCUUCUUACAUUUCAGACAGAGACAUAGCUGGUCUAGGGGGCGCAAGUUCUGUAACAAACAACGGCUCUCCAAAGACCUUGAAUCGGGGAAGAAGCGGAUCCCAGUCCGCUGCUAGCCCUGCUGAUUAAUGUCUGAGAAUCUGUCUGUACAGGCAGUAUUACUUACCUUUCAGACUGAGUCUUAAAGGAGGUGAAUAACUCGACUUUAACACACUAAACACAGAGCUGGAGAAGGAAGGAAUGAUCGGCUCUUUUCCUGCUGAUGAUACCCAUUCUCCUAAAAAGGCCUAAUUUAUUCCCUCCAACACAGAGAUAUGGAGUCUGAAAACCCCAGCCCUUCAGAAAUAGUUUCUUCUACUGACAAAAUAAAUGUAUCUCUUACACGUAAGCCAAAAAAAUAUAUAGGCAACUUAAGUGUUCACCAGUGUUCAGAGUGCGGAAAGACUUUUAAACAGAGUGGUGCCCUCAAAAAGCACCAGCGCAUUCACACUGGAGAGAAACCUUAUUCCUGCUCAGAAUGCGGGAAGAGUUUUACUCAACAGAAUCAUCUCCAACAGCACAUGCGCAUUCACACAGGGGAGAAACCCUUUUGCUGCGAUGUUUGUGGGAAAAGUUUUACCCGACAGCAUAAUCUCCUGCAGCACCAGUGUGUUCACACAGGGGAGAAACUGUAUUGCUGCCCAAUUUGCGGGAAGAGUUUUACUCAACAGUAUAGCUUCCAACAACACCAGCGCACUCACACAGGAGAGAAACCGUAUCACUGCUCAGAGUGUGGGAAGAGUUUUACAGAGAGUGGUUCCCUCAAGAAACACCAGCGCAUUCACACGGGAGAGAAACCGUACCCCUGCAGAGCCUGUGGGAAGAGUUUUACUGAGAGUAGCUACCUCAAGAAACACCAGCGCAUUCAUACGGGAGAGAAACCGUAUCACUGCACAGUCUGUGGUCAGAUUUUUAGAGCCAGUAGUAGCCUUAAAAGACACCAGCGCAUCCACACAGGAGAGAAACCGUAUACAUGCACAGAUUGUGGGAAGAGUUUUACUCAACAGGGUAGCCUCCACAAACAUACACGCAUGCAUGAGAGGGAGAAACAACAACUCUGCUUAGCUUGGGAGGAGCUGCAGGCCUGCGGAAUCGGUAUAGGUAUAGUUCCGUAAAUGAGAGCUGUCUUGGGUUGGUUUUAAAUAAUAAUGGUCACAUGGAACUUGAUGGUAUCACAGUGCUGUUUGUAAAAUGCUGUGCAUAGUUAAGAGUGCUAUAGGUUUUCAUGUUCCACUGUAAAAUAGACUCUUAACUGUUUUGUUACUUUCUGGGAAGUUCUGUCAGUUGGCGAAGGGACCUCUGCUACAAGAAAGCAGAGAAUUGGAACUGCAUUGGGUUUUAAAAGCAAAUACUUGCUCCAAUAAAAAAAAAUAUUUACGACAUCUCUACUAGGAGAGGUAAUAAUUUGAGUAUUAAAGCAAAAAGAAAAAAAUGUUUUGAUGAUGACAUGAGGUACAUGUACAGAAUUUUUUUUUAUUUUUUUUUUUACUGAUUUACUACAUGCAAACAUGCAUGAAAUAUAUUGUUUUUUUUUACUAUAGUUCUAGUUGUAGCUUUGCUAAAAAAAUGUACAUUGCAGGAAACCAACCAACAAUGAGGGCUUAGUUAAAAUACAUGGACCCUUGAGCAAGGGCCUUAACCCUCAUGCAGCUGCCACUUCUCUGGGCAUGUGUGCUCACUGUAUUACUGUGUGUGUUUAUUCACUAGUGUGCUCACUUCACAGAGGGGUCCCAGCACAAGUGUGGUGUAUGCUGUUGUAUCUUGAUGGUUAUAUUAUUAUCACUUUAAUAUGUCUGAGAAAGGCACAUCAAGUAAUCCUUCAUCAUUUCAAGAAAGGACAGAAAAAUGUUUAAACUGUAGUUUAACAGUGGCUUAUUUAUUCGUAUGUAUUUCUGUGAAAAUUGUAAACCUGAAUACCCACUGCAAGCCACAGAGCUGGUCACUGAACCGUAUCUCUCUUUUCAUGCAGUUUUAUUAGGGGGAGAAAAGAACCCACCAUAUGUAUAAGAGUGUCUUAUACACUGCCUGGCCAAAAAAAUAAGCUUUGAUCACGGCGUGCAUUCUGUUCAGUUAAAUCCAGAUGGAGACUUUUUUUGCCAGGCAGUGUACUCAUGUCUUCCCUGAUGUAAAGAAUCCUAAUUAUGUAUGAGAUUAAAACUACAUGUGAUUGCUAUAGUUAUAGGGGUUUCCUUCUGCCUGACUUAACUACACGAUCAAAACAACUAGCAACAGCCAAUAAAAUAUAUCCUACAUAAUGUAUGUGAAUAUUAGUGGAAUUUUAUAAUUAUUUAGGAAAAAUUAAACAAACCAAAAAUCAGUCUGUAUAAAUUUCUGUUUGCCUUGUCUGUAUUUUUUGUGUCGGUGUUGUUUUGCUAUCAUUGUAUAUUGUAUAUCAUUGUAUUAUAGUGACUGUACAGUUAUCAAAGCAUUUUACUACUAGUUGUACUGUGUGUAACAAAUAAAUUUAGAUUUGAUUG